rnacentral:rRNA from 1 species
CCUACGGGAGGCAGCAGUGGGGGAUAUUGCACAAUGGGGGGAACCCUGAUGCAGCGACGCCGCGUGAGUGAAGAAGCGCCUCGGCGCGUAAAGCUCUGUCAGCAGGGAAGAAAAUGACGGUACCUGAAGCAGAAGCCCCGGCUAAAUACGUGCCAACAGCCGCCGUAAUACGGCGGGGGCAAGCGGUAUCAGGAUUUACUGGGUGUAAAGGGGGCGCAGACGGCGAUGCAAGGCAGGAGUGAAAGGCCGGGGGCCAACCCCGGGACUGCUCUUGGAACUGCGUGGCGUGAGUGCAGGAGGGGCAUGCGGAAUUCCUGGUGUAGCGGUGAAAUGCGUAGAUAUCAGGAGGAACACCGGUGGCGAAGGCGGCCUGCUGGACUGCAACUGACGUUGAGGCCCGAAAGCGUGGGGAGCAAACAGGAUUAGAUACCCCGGUAGUC